ensembl:misc_RNA Metazoa_SRP Metazoan signal recognition particle RNA
GCCAGGCACAGUCGUGCGUGCCUGUAGUCCCAGCUAUUCAGGCAGUUGAGGCUUGAUGAUCACUGGAGUCCAGGAGUUCUGGGCUGUAGUAUGCUAUGCCAAUCAGGUGUCCACACCAAGUUUGGCAUCAAUAUGGUGACCUCCUGGAAGCGGGAGACCACUAGGUUGCCUAAGGAGGGGUGAACUGGCCAAGGUCGGAAACAGAGCAGGUCAAAACUCCUGUGCUGAUCAGUAGUGGGAUCACACCUGUGAAUAGCCACUGCACUCCAGCCUGGGCAACAUAGCGAGACCCCAUCUCA